GACGAACGCUGGCGGCGUGCUUAACACAUGCAGGUCGAACGAUGAACCCGGAGCUUGCUCCGGCGGAUUAGUGGCGAACGGGUGAGUAACACGUGAGUAACCUGCCCUUGACUCUGGGAUAACUGCUAGAAAUGGUAGCUAAUACCGGAUACGACCCUCGGUGGCAUCGCCAGGGGGUGGAAAGAAUUUCGGUCAAGGAUGGACUCGCGGCCUAUCAGCUAGUUGGUGAGGUAACGGCUCACCAAGGCGACGACGGGUAGCCGGCCUGAGAGGGUGACCGGCCACACUGGGACUGAGACACGGCCCAGACUCCUACGGGAGGCAGCAGUGGGGAAUAUUGCACAAUGGGCGCAAGCCUGAUGCAGCAACGCCGCGUGAGGGAUGACGGCCUUCGGGUUGUAAAGCACUUUUGUCAGGGAAGAAAACUGUUUGGCUAAUACCCGAAUAGGAUGACGGUACCUGAAGAAUAAGCACCGGCUAAC
rnacentral:rRNA from 1 species